UACGUAGGGUGCAAGCGUUAAUCGGAAUUACUGGGCGUAAAGCGUGCGCAGGCGGUUUUGUAAGUCUGUCGUGAAAUCCCCGGGCUCAACCUGGGAAUUGCGAUGGAGACUGCAAGGCUAGAAUCUGGCAGAGGGGGGGUAGAAUUCCACGUGUAGCAGUGAAAUGCGUAGAGAUGUGGAGGAACACCGAUGGCGAAGGCAGCCCCCUGGGUCAAGAUUGACGCUCAUGCACGAAAGCGUGGGGAGCAAACG
rnacentral:rRNA from 1 species